UACAGAGACUGCAAGCGUUAUUCGGAUUCAUUGGGCGUAAAGGGUGCGUAGGCGGCGAGGUAAGUCGGAUGUGAAAUCCCGGGGCUCAACCCCGGAACUGCAUUCGAUACUGCUUUGCUUGAGUACUGGAGAGGAGACUGGAAUUUACGGUGUAGCAGUGAAAUGCGUAGAUAUCGUAAGGAAGACCAGUGGCGAAGGCGAGUCUCUGGACAGUUACUGACGCUGAGGCACGAAGGCCAGGGGAGCAAACGGG
rnacentral:rRNA from 1 species